AUACUUACCUUGUUCCGAAUUCCCCAGCUCAUGAAUUGGGGGAUUCAGUGUGGAAGGCCUGCAUUGCACAGCGCGGAGUCGUUCCUCGCUCUAUUGUCCUUCGGGGCCAUAGGGGGCGUAAUUUUUGAUUUGCAUCGCUUUUCGCUGU
rnacentral:snRNA from 12 species